GAGGGAGAAUAACAAAAUAGAAAUUAGUAAAAUCUAGAGAGUAGGGACCUUGGAUAAUGUUAGAAUCACUUUGUCUCAAAUAUAGUUUCAGUAAAAUUUCAGUUGGCUUCUGAGUUUUGUAAUAUGUGAUACCAACUUAAAAAUGUUUCAUAUUCUUUUUGAAACAGAUGAAAUUUUCAUAAUCUUGAUCUUAAUUUAAAUCCUUUAAUUUUCAGGAAAAUUUAUGUAGCCAGAGAGGUUUGGUACCCAACACCGAGGGUCAGACUUUUCAGAUUGCAAUUUCUGGCCAGAUGAGACAGCACUAUGACAGAAUUCAUGAGACACUAACAACGAAAAAUGGCCCUGCUAGACUAUUGAGUUCAUCAGCAAGUACUUUUGAGCAGAGUAUAAAAGCAUAUCAUACUAUGAAUAAAUUUCUUGGCUCUUUCAUCGAUCAUGUUCAUAAGGAAAUGGACUACUUUAUAAAAGAUAAAUUGCUUCUUGAAAGAAUUCUUGGAGUGGAAUUCAUGGAACCAAUGGAAAAAAGCAUCUUUU